rnacentral:rRNA from 1 species
GACACAGGUGCUGCAUGGCUGUCGUCAGCUCGUGUCGUGAGAUGUUGGGUUAAGUCCCGUAACGAGCGCAACCCUUGUCCUUAGUUACCAGCACGUUAUGGUGGGCACUCUAAGGAGACUGCCGGUGACAAACCGGAGGAAGGUGGGGGAUGACGUCAAGUCAUCAUGGCCCUUACGGCCUGGGCUACACACGUGCUACAAUGGUCGGUACAAAGGGUUGCCAAGCCGCGAGGUGGAGCUAAUCCCAUAAAACCGAUCGUAGUCCGGAUCGCAGUCUGCAACUCGACUGCGUGAAGUCGGAAUCGCUAGUAAUCGUGAAUCAGAAUGUCACGGUGAAUACGUUCCCGGGCCUU